CAGGAGGAAACAGCCCAGGGACCGUUUUCUUCUGUUGUGAGGCGAGGAAGGAGAUGGGCUCAUUGCCGACCAGUGAGUGAGUCAGAACCUACUGGAGGACUUAGCCCAAGGAAAUCAGGAAAAUGAUUGGAUGCCAAGAGACCGACAAGAGCUAGGCAGGUUGCGUUGGCCUGGCAGGGAUUCUUAAGGCCUUCGCCCCUGUGUGAAAAAUCAAGCCAUAAAGGGAAGAAUGCCUCACCGUUGAACUUGAAGAACUACAGAAGACGGGAAGAGAGAGUUAGCUCAAAUAAACUUGGACCAGGCCUUGCUUGGCCGCUUGCCCUUCCUAUAAAUAUCAGCCUCCCAGGCCUGGAAACACAGCGGUCAGGGCUGUUGGAAGCUAUUGGGGAGCAUCCUUCCUGGUCCAGUGUCUGGGAGUUGACUGUCUGCUCACAUCUG